rnacentral:rRNA from 1 species
UACGUAGGGUGCUAGCGUUGUCCGGAUUUAUUGGGCGUAAAGGGCUCGUAGGCGGCGUGUCGCGUCGGGGAGUGAAAGCCCGCUGCUUAACGGCGGGUUGGCUUCCGGUACGGGCAUCGCUGGAGUGCGGCAGGGGAGACUGGAAUUCCUGGUGUAGCGGUGGAAUGCGCAGAUAUCAGGAGGAACACCGGUGGCGAAGGCGGGUCUCUGGGCCGUUACUGACGCUGGAGGCUCGAAAGCUAGGGGAGCAAACAGG